rnacentral:rRNA from 1 species
GAUGAACGCUGGCGGCGUGCUUAACACAUGCAAGUCGAACGAAGCACUUUAUUUGAUUUCCUUCGGGACUGAUUAUUUUGUGACUGAGUGGCGGACGGGUGAGUAACGCGUGGGUAACCUGCCUUGUACAGGGGGAUAACAGUUGGAAACGGCUGCUAAUACCGCAUAAGCGCACGGCAUCGCAUGAUGCAGUGUGAAAAACUCCGGUGGUAUAAGAUGGACCCGCGUUGGAUUAGCUAGUUGGUGAAGUAACGGCCCACCAAGGCGACGAUCCAUAGCCGACCUGAGAGGGUGACCGGCCACAUUGGGACUGAGACACGGACCAAACUCCUACGGGAGGCAGCAGUGGGGAAUAUUGCACAAUGGGCGAAAGCCUGAUGCAGCGACGCCGCGUGAGCGAAGAAGUAUUUCGGUAUGUAAAGCUCGAUCAGCAGGGAAGAUAAUGACGGUACCUGACGAAGAAGCACCGGCUAAAUACGUG